rnacentral:rRNA from 1 species
AUUGAACGCUGGCGGCAUGCCUUACACAUGCAAGUCGAACGGCAGCACGGGUGCUUGCACCUGGUGGCGAGUGGCGAACGGGUGAGUAAUAUAUCGGAACGUACCUUAUUGUGGGGGAUAACGCAGCGAAAGUUGUGCUAAUACCGCAUAAUCCCUAAGGGGGAAAGCGGGGGACCGUAAGGCCUCGCGCAAUUAGAGCGGCCGAUACCUGAUUAGCUAGUUGGUGAGGUAAAGGCUCACCAAGGCAACGAUCAGUAGCUGGUCUGAGAGGACGAUCAGCCACACUGGGACUGAGACACGGCCCAGACUCCUACGGGAGGCAGCAGUGGGGAAUUUUGGACAAUGGGGGCAACCCUGAUCCAGCAAUGCCGCGUGAGUGAAGAAGGCCUUCGGGUUGUAAAGCUCUUUUGUCAGGGAAGAAACAGCAGCUCUAACACAGUAUGCGAAUGACGGUACCUGAAGAAUAAGCACCGGCUAACUACGUGCCAGCCGCCGCGGUAA